GGAGGAGUAGCGAAGAGGCUAAACGCGGCAGACUGUAAAUCUGUUCUCUUUGAGUUCGGUGGUUCGAAUCCGCCUUCCUCCACCA
rnacentral:tRNA from 1 species